rnacentral:tRNA from 1 species
GGGUGGGCGGUCUGGAACGGCAGGCGGCCGCUGCCACCGGCCACGAUGCGGCCGUUGUGGCCGGCUUCCACGCCC